UGGGGAAUAUUGCACAAUGGGCGAAAGCCUGAUGCAGCAACGCCGCGUGAGUGAUGAAGGUCUUCGGAUUGUAAAGCUCUGUCUUUUGGGACGAUAAUGACGGUACCAAAGGAGGAAGCCACGGCUAACUACGUGCCAGCAGCCGCGGUAAUACGUAGGUGGCGAGCGUUGUCCGGAUUUACUGGGCGUAAAGGGUGCGUAGGCGGAUGUUUAAGUGAGAUGUGAAAUACCCGGGCUUAACUUGGGUGCUGCAUUUCAAAGCUG
rnacentral:rRNA from 1 species